ACAGCAUGGACACCACUUCAUGUAGGGGCACUGGACUGCCUAGAGUUGGAGGAAGGGACCCUGUUCUCACAUCGCUUUCCUGUUUCCCUCUCCUGCAAUAUGGAUUUGACAUAUUAAUCAUUACAGCAACUGCUAAAAUUCCACUGUGCUUCAUUAAUCCGGAGGAAAAUACCAUGUCAGCUGGAACUUACUGUGUCUCUGUUUGAUUGAGCCUGGGCAUGAGAUAAAACACGAGGUCAUCUGCAAUGGCACUGGUGCUGUGGCUGUAUCAGCAUGGCUCUGAUGUCCCUUCGGGGCAGGCAACAGUUCAGGGAGGACUUACAAGCAAGCUCUGGAACUUGAAGUCUCAAGAGAUGACAAAUAGUCAAUUCUCAAAAAAUGAAGAAAAGAAAAACUUGUUUCUUCAUGUUUGCUAACCCUAUCUAUAUCUAUGGUUUUGGCCAAUAAAUUCACUGUGUUUAAAUCCUCA
rnacentral:lncRNA from 1 species